GCCCUAGUAGUUUAAUAUUAUAAGCACCGGUCUUGUAAUCCGGAAAUUGAAGGUUAAAAUCCUCCCUAGCGCU
rnacentral:tRNA from 1 species